rnacentral:rRNA from 1 species
AGCAGCCGCGGUAAUUCCAGCUCCAAUAGCGUAUAUUAAAGUUGUUGCAGUUAAAAAGCUCGUAGUUGAAUUUCGGGAUCAAUAUGUCUGUCGUGCCUUCGGUACGUACGGGUAUAAUUGGUUUCUACCUUCUGAUGAACCUUGAUGCCAUUAAUUUGGUGUCUUGGGGACUCAGGACUGUUACCUUGAAAAAAAUUAGAGUGUUUAAAGCAGGCAUACGCUUGAAUACAUUAGCAUGGAAUAAUGAAAUAGGACGUUCGAUUCUAUUUUGUUGGUUUCUAGGAUCGACGUAAUGAUUAAUAGGGAUAGUUGGGGGCAUUAGUAUUCAAUUGUCAGAGGUGAAAUUCUUGGAUUUAUUGAAGACUAACUACUGCGAAAGCAUUUGCCAAGGAUGUUUUCAUUAAUCUAAGAACGAAAGUUAGGGGAUCGAAGACGAUCAGAUACCGUCGU